AACGAACGCUGGCGGCAUGCCUAACACAUGCAAGUCGAACGAGACCUUCGGGUCUAGUGGCGCACGGGUGCGUAACGCGUGGGAACCUGCCCUUAGGUUCAGAAUAACUCCCCGAAAGGGGUGCUAAUACCGGAUAAUGUCUUCGGACCAAAGAUUUGUCGCCUUUGGAUGGGCCCGCGUUGGAUUAGCUAGUUGGUAGGGUAAAAGCCUACCAAGGCGACGAUCCAUAGCUGGUCUGAGAGGAUGAUCAGCCACACUGGGACUGAGACACGGCCCAGACUCCUACGGGAGGCAGCAGUGGGGAAUAUUGGACAAUGGGCGAAAGCCUGAUCCAGCAAUGCCGCGUGAGUGAUGAAGGCCUUAGGGUUGUAAAGCUCUUUUACCCGGGAUGAUAAUGACAGUACCGGGAGAAUAAGCUCCGGCUAACUCCGUG
rnacentral:rRNA from 1 species